GACGAACGCUGGCGGCGUGCCUAACACAUGCAAGUCAACUUGACUGAAGGAGCAAUCUGACAGUAGAGUGGCGCAAGGGUGCGUAACGCGUAAGUAACUUGCCCAAGGUAAGGAAUAACGUCGAGAAAUCGGCGCUAAUACCUCAUAAUGCAGCGGAUCCGCAUGGAUAUGUUGUUAAAGGUUUACCGCCUUGGGAUAGGCUUGCGUCUGAUUAGCUAGUUGGUGUGGUAACGGCACACCAAGGCUACGAUCAGUAACUGGUCUGAGAGGAUGAUCAGUCACACUGGAACUGAGACACGGUCCAGACUCCUACGGGAGGCAGCAGUGAGGAAUAUUGGGCAAUGCUCGAAAGAGUGACCCAGCAACGCCGCGUGGAGGAUGAAGGUAUUCUAUAUCGUAAACUCCUGUGAGAGCAGACGAAAGACAGAUUAUUAAUCUGGAUGACUGUAUGCUCAGAGAAG
rnacentral:rRNA from 1 species